CAGCACUGAACAACAAUCACCAUCUUUCCUUUGAGGCUUAUAACUAUGAGACCAACUCAUGCACCACUCUAAGGCCUG
rnacentral:snoRNA from 1 species